rnacentral:rRNA from 1 species
AACGAACGCUGGCGGCAUGCCUAACACAUGCAAGUCGAACGAGACCUUCGGGUCUAGUGGCGCACGGGUGCGUAACGCGUGGGAACCUGCCCUUAGGUUCGGAAUAACUCCCCGAAAGGGGUGCUAAUACCGGAUAAUGUCUUCGGACCAAAGAUUUAUCGCCUUUGGAUGGGCCCGCGUUGGAUUAGCUAGUUGGUAGGGUAAAAGCCUACCAAGGCGACGAUCCAUAGCUGGUCUGAGAGGAUGAUCAGCCACACUGGGACUGAGACACGGCCCAGACUCCUACGGGAGGCAGCAGUGGGGAAUAUUGGACAAUGGGCGAAAGCCUGAUCCAGCAAUGCCGCGUGAGGGAUGAAGGCCUGAGGGGUGUAAAGCUCUUUUACCCGGGAUGAUAAUGACAGUACCGGGAGAAUAAGCUCCGGCUAACUCCG